rnacentral:lncRNA from 1 species
CUCCUUUUUCGUCAGAAGAAUGAAGGAUGCAGGUCUGCCUCUUUUUUCGUCAGAAGAAUGAAGGAUGCAAUUGAAGUCUCCUACUAAUAGAAGGGGAGGACCUAAAGAAAAGACAUGAUCAAUUGACUCUCAAAGCAUUCUGCACCUUAAGGCAUUAGUGCUAGCAUAUAGAACUCCCAGUAUCUAGAUAGAUCCUAAAAAUAGUGAGA